rnacentral:misc_RNA from 1 species
GUAACGAUUACGUUAUUUCUGACGCUGAUUGCAAUUACAAAGGGUUAUAAAGGGUCCUACUGGCAGGCAAGCCUGCCGAGGAAACAAUGGGUGCGCAAAAAGCAAGGGUAAGGUUCAGGUGGCAAGCUCGAUCAGCGGAAUCCGCCCCAGCCAGUGGAACCAAACAUCCACCAGCUGUCCUUUCGGAAAGCCUGCCCCCGUGGACUUUAUCAUUUAAUGAUCCUUCCGCAGGUUCACCUACGGAAA